rnacentral:rRNA from 1 species
AGCUCCAAUAGGAUAUAUCAAAGUUGUUGCAGUUAAAAAGCUCGUAGUUGAAUUUCUGGGGAGGUUUUGAUGUUUGUUUUUGAAAGAGGGCAACUUUUUUCUUAAAUAAGCCACUCUCCAUAUUGUGGAAAACCUAUUUGUUUUUAUUGUUUACUCAAUGAAAAUAAAUACCACUCCGUCACUGAGAGCAAAUUGGAGUGCUCAAAGCAGGCUUUAUUAGCUUUGAACAUUUUAGCUUGGAAUGACAAGAUAUGACUUUUGUUUUAUUUUGUUGGUUAUGAAGUAAAAGUAAUGAUUAACAGGAACAGUUGCGGGGGUACUCGUAUUGAAAGGUCAGAGGUGAAAUUCUUGGAUUCUUUCAAGACGAACGACUGCGAAAGCAUUUACCAAGGAUGUUUUCA